rnacentral:lncRNA from 1 species
UGCAACUAAUUUCAAUUAUUGACGUCAACAAUAUCAACACCAGAUUAAGAAAAAGGAAUGUUAUGCAGGAAAAUAAACAAAAAUCAAGUGUGGACAUCAAGAGAUAUCUCACAUUUCAUUGCUUAUUUGGGAAGUUUUUACAGUGAAGAUUAUCUCUACCAAGAUAACAAGGAAAAAUUAUACACGAAAGGCCAAAAACGAAAAUAAGGAAGUUUCUCCCUGAUCUAAUCAAAGUUUCAAGAGUAUACAAGAUCUAUCUAAGAAAUGUUAACCUCAUUUCGCUGAAUCAAAUCCAGUGCGUAAUGAUUCCCGAGCUUAACCAUUAUGCUUGCCAAGAUUUCAAGCAAUUCUCCGCUUCGAACCUUAAAUAGAGAAUCAAAUCCAUUUGAAAAAUUUGAUUCAAUGAGAAUUCCAAUAUUUAUAUCACUAUUUUACACACAUCAACACCAAGCAAAUAUCCAAGAUCCGUAUUUCUAUAACAGAGACGGAUCAUCACGGGUUCCCAACUAGAACUAAUCAUACUUCUCUCUCCAUGAAUACACAAGAAAGAAAACCCAAGAAACUCCCAAUGCAAUAUCCCCAACUACAAGCCUAAGCCAAUCGCAGCCUAGAUCUUCGACCUUCCUUUCAAAAUAAAUUCUCCAAAUAACCAUUGCUACAUGGAGAAGGAUACAGCCCUUGGCAAAGAAGCUAUGAAACUCUCUGUCCUUCACAAAAGCCACCAUAAACAAGAGAAACCCAAUGGCAAAUAAAAGCAAACCCGAAAACGAGUCUGAUGUUUGGAUUAGCGACUGAUCAUGGGGUGUUUGCA